UACGUAGGGGGCAAGCGUUGUUCGGAAUUACUGGGCGUAAAGCGCACGUAGGCGGAUUUGUUAGUCAGGGGUGAAAUCCCGGGGCUCAACCUCGGAACUGCCUUUGAUACUGCAAAUCUCGAGUCCGAUAGAGGUGGGUGGAAUUCCUAGUGUAGAGGUGAAAUUCGUAGAUAUUAGGAAGAACACCGGUGGCGAAGGCGGCCCACUGGAUCGGUACUGACGCUGAGGUGCGAAAGCGUGGGGAGCAAACAGG
rnacentral:rRNA from 1 species